rnacentral:rRNA from 1 species
GGACGAACGGCUGGCGGCGUGCCUAACACAUGCAAGUCGAGCGGGGACAUUAACAGAACGGAAGUUUCGGACGGAAGGGAAGAUAAGUGUUCUAGCGGCGGACGGGUGAGUAACGCGUGAGCAACCUGUCCUUCACAGGGGGAUAACACAGCGAAAGUUGUACUAAUACCGCAUAAGACCACGGUACCGCAUGGUGCAGGGGUCAAAGGAGGAAUCCGGUGAAGGGUGGGCUCGCGUCCGAUUAGAUAGUUGGUGAGGUAACGGCCCACCAAGUCAACGAUCGGUAGCCGACCUGAGAGGGUGAUCGGCCACAUUGGGACUGAGACACGGCCCAAACUCCUACGGGAGGCAGCAGUGGGGAAUAUUGGGCAAUGGGGGAAACCCUGACCCAGCAACGCCGCGUGAGGGGAGAAGGUUUUCGGAUCGUAAACCUCUGUCCUAGGUGAAGAGGAAGAGACGGUAGCCUAGGAGGAAGCCCCGGCUAACUACGUGCCAGCCGCCGC